GACGAGGGGUCCUAGCGUUGUUCGGAAUCACUGGGCGUAAAGCGCAUGUAGGUGGCUUAGCAAGUCAGGUGUGAAAGCCCUGGGCUUAACCCAGGAAGUGCAUUUGAAACUGCUGAGCUUGAGUAUGGGAGAGGGUAGUGGAAUUCUUGGUGUAGUGGUGAAAUACGUAGAUAUCAAGAGGAACACCGGUGGCGAAGGCGGCUACCUGGCCCAAUACUGACACUGAGAUGCGAAAGCGUGGGGAUCAAACAGG
rnacentral:rRNA from 1 species